rnacentral:tRNA from 1 species
UAGGGUAUAACGUAAUAGGUUAUCGUGUUUGCUUUGGGAGCAAAAGAUUGCAGGUUCGAAUCCUGCUACCCUAA